rnacentral:lncRNA from 1 species
GGUAGUCCAUCUGGAAGGGGACAGACUAGGGUGGGGUGGUGGUUUUGGGUUUGGGUCUUUUUUUUUUUUUUUUGGAAUCACACAAUCACUGCCAUACAAGCAAGCAUGUUUGAUUUUAGUGGGGGUUUAAACAAGAAAACCCCUGCCAGGGUAAGUUGUUAAAACAUAAAAAUGUUUCCAUUUGGCUUGAAACAUGUUUUUGGUUUUGGUAGUGCUUGAAUGGACCUAGUGAUGUUGGCUCUACACCACCUCCUUGUAUAUGCCCCCCAGGAAAACAAGGACCACCAGGUCCCAAAGGUGAUCCUGGACAACCUGGGAACCAUGGCUAUCCUGGAGAACCUGGUCCAGAUGGUAAGCCUGGCCACCAAGGGAGAGCUGGAACUCCAGGUAUUCCAGGACCCCCAGGGAUUCAAGUAAGUUUGCCACCCCUUUUUUGCAGUACAAAGAUCUAAUGCUUACACACUAAUCCUU